AGGGGAAGGUGGUCUGGGGGUGAGGUAUCUAGAGUUCCAAAAGAUCCACAAGGGAAGGGGUGAGGACAAGAGACUCUUCUUAAACCACAGAAUCCUCAAAUAGUUCAGACUGAGCAGGGCGUUCUCAGAAUCAGCUGUGAGAGGAUGAGGAGUGUCAGAUAAGAUGAAUGAUGGAGGAGAGGCAGCAAGAGCUGAGAUUGGAACCCUUGGGAGGCAGAGGCAAUCUGCUGCUGGAAGCAGCUGUUCUGUGAUGCUCCAAAGAGCAUCCCACCUCUGAGAGGGAACGUGGCCUGUGUGGGAGUGCUGAAUCUGAGCACAACUCAGAGAGGGUGUGUUAUUGCCAGCACUGGCCUCUGCAGAGCCCCUUGCACUCACAGGAGGGAUUUUGGCCAGCCAGGUCAGCCUGGAGAAAAGGAGGCUCAGACAGAGCAGGAACACUGGUGUGAAUCUGUGCAGAUUAAGUGUGUUCAAGGCAGUGGAAGGUAAGAACAGAGAUCAGUGAGCCAGAUAAGAUCAGUUGAUUGGAUCAGUGCCAAAUCCAUUCAUGUCUGCAGGUAGUAGUUCUUUAUUCUGCCGUUUACCUAAAUUGCAGCUGACAGCUGAAUGUGUUUUGGCAAGUAGCAUAGCCAGCAAUUUGCUUGUAGAACUUAAAAUGAGAGAAACACCAGGGUCAUUAGUGCCAACAGUUCCACUCUGCUAAAAAUACCAUGUAUUAGGGGCACUAACAGAUGAAAGCAUCAGCACACCAGGUAGUGUCUGCUUUUCAUUUAUUUCCUCGAGGGAGGGGGCUGGUUAAGCUUGUUUCAUUUAAAAAUAAAAAAGGACAAAGAGAAAGGCAGUUUUUGGCUGGUUGCUUGGGUUCUAGCAGCUUUGAUUUAGGUUAAUUAAUAAAGGACCUUACCAGAACUCAAUGAAAAACAACAGAAAUCCUUCCCUUGGCUUCUCUGGAUGUGGCUUUUGAGCGUGUUGCCUGAUGUGAAAGGCAGAGUUACAGCCAGUGGUGAGCAAAUCCUUGUCAUCCCAGAGGGAAAAGCAUUCUGCUGAUGCUGGGAUGUUCCCACUGGCUGAGUCUGUGCCCUGCAAAUGCAUCUACUCCAAGGACAGGCUUUGCACCUUCUCUCUGUUUCCCACCUUCAACAAGCAGCUGCAAAAGCUUUUGAGUAGAAGGGUGUUAAUGUUGUCACAUCUGUUCUCCUCACUGGUGUCUCACUCUGGGAUUUUCCUUUCAUCUUCAGGGCACAGUAAAAAUUAGUUCUGAAGAGGAAAGGACUGUGUUUAGUGGUGACUUGGCAUUUCAAAGGUUGUUGUAAUGUAUUCCUCAAAGUCCUUUGCCAGCACAGAUGAAAAUGUAUCACCUUUAUUUCCUAGCCAAAGCAAAAGGAAGCAAUGAUAAAGAAUAGAAUGGGUUGAGUUAGAAGGGACCUUAAAUAUCAUCUCAUUUCAGGGACACCUUC